rnacentral:lncRNA from 1 species
GGAAGUGGGUAGUAGAAGCUUUCAAAAACUUUUCUCCUAGUGGCAUGACUUAAAGAGAAUUCCCAUGAUUCUGAAGAAACAUCUUCAGUCUGGCCACAGCUCAAUGCAUCCUAUUUCUGCAAUUUGGAGUUUAAAAGGCGAGUGAUUUGUAUCCAUCAGCUCUGCAGUGACAACAGGGCUAAAUCCAUCAUUUGGCAUUACUUGGUCUUCCUGCGCAGGCUGCCAAAUGCCUU